UUUAGGUAGCAGGUAGUGAGAGCAAUGAAUGCGUGUUCAGCAGGGGCACUCCUACACAUGCACGGCAGAGUCUGAGUUUAGCCUUACCAUGUCCUGCGCCUUCUCCAUGCUCUAUCAUUGUUUAUGAAGACGAGACCUUAACACAAACACCAGCAGAAAAUGCAGUACUAGCUCAAGUUGAUGUCACAACAUUCUUAGAAAGCUCAAAAUUUGUGAAAAUGGACUUUCACCUGAAGAGUGAUGGAAGUCUCCA